rnacentral:rRNA from 1 species
UACGGGGGGGGCAAGCGUUGUUCGGAAUUACUGGGCGUAAAGGGCGUGUAGGCGGCCAACUAAGUCGGACGUGAAAUCCCCAGGCUCAACCUGGGAACUGCGUCUGAUACUGGAAGGCUUGAGUAUGGGAGAGGGAUGUAGAAUUCCAGGUGUAGCGGUGAAAUGCGUAGAUAUCUGGAGGAAUACCGGUGGCGAAGGCGGCAUCCUGGACCAUUACUGACGCUGAGGCGCGAAAGCUAGGGGAGCAAACGGG